UACGAAGGGGGCGAGCGUUAUUCGGAAUCACUGGGCGUAAAGCGUGCGUAGGCUGUUUGGCAAGUUGGAAGUGAAAGCCCGGGGCUCAGCCCCGGAAUUGCUUUCAAAACUGCCAGACUCGAAUCUCGGAGAGGAUAGCGGAAUUUCCAGUGUAGUAGUGAAAUACGUAGAUAUUGGAAGGAACACCAGUGGCGUAAGCGGCUAUCUGGACGAGUAUUGACGCUGAGGCACGAAAGCGUGGGGAUCAAACAGG
rnacentral:rRNA from 1 species